GACGAACGCUGGCGGCGUGCUUAACACAUGCAAGUCGAACGAAGUGGCGAACGGGUGAGUAACGCGUAAUCAACCUGCCCUUCAGAGGGGGACAACAGUUGGAAACGACUGCUAAUACCGCAUACUGAAGGAGGGGUUUGCGUCUGAUUAGCUAGUUGGAGGGGUAACGGCCCACCAAGGCGAUGAUCAGUAGGCGGUCUGGGGGGAUGAACGGGCCAAUUGGGACUGGGACACGGGCCAGACUCCUACGGGGAGGAGCAAGUGGGGAAUUUCCGGAAAUGAGGAAAGUCUGACGGAGCAAAGGCGCGGGGGUGGAGGCGGGCUUCGGGGUGUAAAGCUCUGUUAGGCGGGACGCGGUACCGGAAGAGAAAGCCACGGCUAACUACGUGCCAGCAGCCGCGGUAAUUC
rnacentral:rRNA from 1 species